GAUGAACGCUAGCGGCAGGCUUAAUACAUGCAAGUCAAGGGGGUAGCAAUACAACCGGCGCACGGGUGAGUAACGCGUACACAACAUACCAUAUACUGGGGUAUAGCUUUGGGAAACUGAAGGUAAUCCCCCAUAACAUUGCGAGAGGGCAUCUGAUUGCAAUUAAAGUUUCGACGGUAUAUGAUUGGUGUGCGUUUGAUUAGCUUGUUGGUAGGGUAACGGCCUACCAAGGCGACGAUCAAUAGCUGGCGUGAGAGCGCGACCAGCCACACUGGAACUGAGACACGGUCCAGACUCCUACGGGAGGCAGCAGUAGGGAAUAUUGGACAAUGGGCGAAAGCCUGAUCCAGCCAUGCCGCGUGAUAGAUGAAGGCCCUCUGGGUUGUAAAUAUCUUUUAUCUGGGAAGAAACCCCUCGUUUCUACGAGGCUUGACGGUACCAGAGGAAUAAGCACCGGCUAACUCCGUG
rnacentral:rRNA from 1 species